AGAGUUUGAUCCUGGCUCAGAGCGAACGCUGGCGGCAGGCCUAACACAUGCAAGUCGAACGAACUCUUCGGAGUUAGUGGCGGACGGGUGAGUAACACGUGGGAACGUGCCUUUAGGUUCGGAAUAACUCAGGGAAACUUGUGCUAAUACCGAAUGUGCCCUUCGGGGGAAAGAUUUAUCGCCUUUAGAGCGGCCCGCGUCUGAUUAGCUUGUUGGUGGGGUAAUGGCCCACCAAGGCGACGAUCAGUAGCUGGACUGAGAGGAUGACCAGCCACAUUGGGACUGAGACACGGCCCAAACUCCUACGGGAGGCAGCAGUGGGGAAUCUUGCGCAAUGGGCGAAAGCCUGACGCAGCCAUGCCGCGUGGAUGAUGAAGGUCUUAGGAUUGUAAAAUCCUUUCACCGGUGAAGAUAAUGACUGUAGCCGGAGAAGAAGCCCCGGCUAACUUCGUGCCAGCAGCCGCGGUAAUACGAAGGGGGCUAGCGUUGCUCGGAAUUACUGGGCGUAAAGGGAGCGUAGGCGGACAUUUAAGUCAGGGGUGAAAUCCCGAGGCUCAACCUCGGAACUGCCUUUGAUACUGGGUGUCUUGAGUGUGAGAGAGGUGAGUGGAACUCCGAGUGUAGAGGUGAAAUUCGUAGAUAUUCGGAAGAACACCAGUGGCGAAGGCGACUCACUGGCUCAUUACUGACGCUGAGGCUCGAAAGCGUGGGGAGCAAACAGGAUUAGAUACCCUGGUAGUCCACGCCGUAAACGAUGAUUGCUAGUUGUCGGGGAGCUUGCUCUUCGGUGACGCAGCUAA
rnacentral:rRNA from 1 species